AGACCCGAAACCCGGUGAUCUAGCCAUGGGCAGGUUGAAGGUUGGGUAACACUAACUGGAGGACCGAACCGACUAAUGUUGAAAAAUUAGCGGAUGACUUGUGGCUGGGGGUGAAAGGCCAAUCAAACCGGGAGAUAGCUGGUUCUCCCCGAAAGCUAUUUAGGUAGCGCCUCGUGAAUUCAUCUCCGGGGGUAGAGCACUGUUUCGGCAAGGGGGUCAUCCCGACUUACCAACCCGAUGCAAACUGCGAAUACCGGAGAAUGUUAUCACGGGAGACACACGGCGGGUGCUAACGUCCGUCGUGAAGAGGGAAACAACCCAGACCGCCAGCUAAGGUCCCAAAGUCAUGGUUAAGUGGGAAACGAUGUGGGAAGGCCCAGACAGCCAGGAUGUUGGCUUAGAAGCAGCCAUCAUUUAAAGAAAGCGUAAUAGCUCACUGGUCGAGUCGGCCUGCGCGGAAGAUGUAACGGGGCUAAACAAUGCACCGAAGCUGCGGCAGCGACACUGUGUGUUGUUGGGUAGGGGAGCGUUCUGUA
rnacentral:rRNA from 1 species